AGCCAUACAGAUGAACCUAUAGCCUGGGCUGUGUGUUAGUCUACAGAGAGAGCAGCACAGGCAGCAGCAGCAGCAUGCAUUGUCCCAGGAUGUAUUACAGUAUAUGGGUGCCCCCUAGCGUAUGAAGUUCUCGCUUCAAAUAAGAUUCAAUUUAGAGGAGCCAUCCGACACGGAAACUGCUUCAGUCUCUUCUCCCGCAUCGACCAAACUAACGAGCACCAUUUUAAACUGAUGACUGUUUGUUUAAAUUCUGUUUUACAUGACUUGGACGGCAAAGCUUUGAGAGUUGCCAAAGUUGGAUUUACUUUUUGCCACUUCAGGCAGUCCCAGCGGUGGUAUUUAGACCAAUUAUGUCUUUAUUCUAAAACAAAUGAGCCGAUUAUAUUUUGUCUGCAUGACUAUUUUGUCGGUUUUAUUUACAGAACCCCGUGAAAAUGGAGAAUCUGUAAAUAAAUAACACUCCGAAAAGGUACCCAUUUAUCGAGGAGCCAGCUCCAAAAUGGAACUACUGCUGAAGUACCCUUCGGCAAAGCAGCUUAAACCCCAUCUGUCCCAGUGGAGCUGCACAGCGACCAGCAGGACAAGACUGCGGUUGUAACGGGCACUUGUGAGAUGUGUCUCUUUGAGUGUGACCUACCCUCCCUUUUCUUUUUAAAAGAGGGAGAGUGGGCAGUCCACUCGCCUCACACUUUUUUUUUUCAUGUACUCAGACAGUGAAAAAAGUUUGGGAGAAGACACAAGAGAGAAAGCUGUGGCAGCAUUCAGUCCUGAGCCAGACACUGUUCACAUGUGGCCCCAAAGGCAACAGACGGUGUAUUGAAUUACUGUAACUCAAGGUGUAAUGUGGUAGCAGUGUGGGAUAUGUAAGAAUUACACAAACGGAUGUAGAGGAGGCUUACUGCAGCUUCAGCUUUCUAUUACAGCUAUAAAACGUUCAACUGUGUGCUUUAUUUUCUUAAAUUUCACCUAUAACUAAUCAUAAGUUAAAAUGGCAGCCACACUUUCUGUAGCGAUCACAAGUGUCUAAUUAUCAUUAGAUUUACCAAUUAUAUCAAACUGCUAUCAUCAUGUGAACACCUGAUAUCUCUCCGUUUUGUGAUUUUCAUGUGUUAAUUUCCAUUUAAGACGUACAUGGUUUGUAGUGCGAGGAGGAAACACUUCAAACAGCGCUGGAUAAACUCAUAAUUCCAUGUUGGUAAACUUCAAACCGUAGCUGUGUUUCUUAUGUGCUGUGUAUAAUUGCAAUUUGCAGUGUCACACCUGCCACAUCUAUGACUAAUAAAGUGUUAAAACAUCACAUGA